AUACGAAGGGGGCUAGCGUUUUUCGGAAUUACUGGGCGUAAAGCGCGCGUAGGCGGACUGAUCAGUUGGGGGUGAAAUCCCAGGGCUUAACCCUGGAACUGCCUCCAAUACUGUCAGUCUUGAGUUCGGGAGAGGUGAGUGGAAUUCCUAGUGUAGAGGUGAAAUUCGUAGAUAUUAGGAAGAACACCAGUGGCGAAGGCGGCUCACUGGCCCGAUACUGACGCUGAGGCGCGAAAGCGUGGGGAGCAAACAGGAUUAGAAACCCCAGUAGUCC
rnacentral:rRNA from 1 species